rnacentral:rRNA from 1 species
UGGCGACGGGUGAGUAACGCGUGGGGAACCUGCCCUGUACAGGGGGAUAACACUUAGAAAUAGGUGCUAAUACCGCAUAAGCGCACAGUAUCGCAUGAUACAGUGUGAAAAACUCCGGUGGUACAGGGUGGACCCGCGUCUGAUUAGCUGGUUGGCGGGGUAACGGCCCACCAAGGCGACGAUCAGUAGCCGGCCUGAGAGGGUGAACGGCCACAUUGGGACUGAGACACGGCCCAAACUCCUACGGAAGGCAGCAG